rnacentral:rRNA from 1 species
ACGAACGCUGGCGGCAGGCCUAACACCUGCCAGUCGAACGCAGUCUUCGGACUUAGUGGCGCACGGGUGAGUAACACGUGGGAAUAUACCUUACGCUGGGGGAUAACAUCGGGAAACUGAUGCUAAUACCGCAUACGCCCUUCGGGGGAAAGAUUUAUCGGCGAAAGAUUAGCCCGCGUCCGAUUAGCUAGUUGGUGAGGUAAUGGCUCACCAAGGCUCCGAUCGGUAGCUGGUCUGAGAGGAUGACCAGCCACACUGGGACUGAGACACGGCCCAGACUCCUACGGGAGGCAGCAGUGGGGAAUAUUGGACAAUGGGCGCAAGCCUGAUCCAGCCAUGCCGCGUGAGUGAUGAAGGCCUUAGGGUUGUAAAGCUCUUUCACCCACGACGAUGAUGACGGUAGUGGGAGAAGAAGCCCCGGCUAACUUCGUG